UUUAGUUCUUCUCCAGGGACUAUCUUGCCUUACAAGCAAACGACUAAAACCUGAAAUAAAUGACAUUCCACACUGAUUUCAAUGCGAAAGCAUGCACAAUGUUAACAUGGAAACAAUGUUAACAAGAUUGUUACCAGGCCAUAGGUCCUUAACCGUACUAAAUUCUGCCCAAACGGCCAUUUUGAAUCAUUGUUUUGAUUGGAUUCUUAUAUUGUUUGCUAUAAUUUUUGACAUUAUAUGAAUAUAAAGCCCUUCUUCACCACAGAGUAGUAAGUUGUCCAUACCGGCUACAAAUUGAACACAUUCUUCAUACAGAACUGUUUGAGAAUUGCAGAAACCAGUAAACAUGAUUCCGAAUUACCUCCCUUGAUUUACGAACAGUAUUGGUCAUACAAUAGUGUUAUGGGCAAACACUCUGUUAAAAAACAAAACCUUAGGAAUAUAUAAUUAAGCAAAAGCAUGUUUCAUGGGUGUUUGAUCAUUUUGGAAAUUUGUCGUUUUACCUUAAGGUGGCACACUACAGUUUUUUUAGUCUCGGCCAAUCGCGUACACAAGCAGGAGCGAACCAAUGUCUGGAAACUGGUCACCUCGCAAAUCUGAAAAUAAACCAAGCACAUUGCCAGAAUGGUUGAGGCUGUGCCUUCUGAAAAAUCAGUAACAUUCAAAUCAAAUGAGUUGGGGCAAAAUGUUUUAGUAUUGAUUAUUUCAAAUCAAAACAUCAGAAUUAUGUGUGUUUCCGAGCCUUUUUAAGCCAGUUUCAACAACAAACUGCCACUUUCCUGCAGAAGCAAGGUGCCUGGAAACCAUGUUUUUACAUUGGUAACUUACCAAGUACUAAACAGCAAUGGAGAAAAUUGGGGGUCAAAGGAUUAGAUUUUUUGUAAUAGUUCAAUGUCCGUACGCCCUUUCAAAUUUCCAACAGAAAUACUGACCGGAGCCAGCAUUACACCUGUUUUCGAAUUGCAUUAAUUCUACUUCCUGUAUGCAGCUAUAGUUAAAAUACCAAUGUUUUGGUAACUUACAAACAUCCAAGAAAAAUCACCACAACUCAAACCUGACAUUCAUUAUUAUUAAGACACUCAAAAUGGUGCUUACUUGAGCAAUGUUCUCUUUAUUUAGAAAUUUGACCGGGGCCAAUUCGCAUUGGUGGCUAAAAAGUGUGGUGUGCAGCCUUAAGGGCAAGCAAAGUCUUAGAA